CAGCACUAAACUAGAUUACAAGAACAGAGACGAGACGAGAGCUUGAUCGGAAAGGUGAAGAGAAAGGUGUGGCAGAAGAAGUUGUUGGAUUUCCGAGGAUGUCUUCGCUUCCAGACGAACUGUGGCGGCGAAUUCUGGAAAUGGGAGUGGAAAGUGGGGAUUUGAGUUACAAGGAACUCUGCUGCGUCUCCAUCUCAUGCCGCCGCUUCCAUCGCCUCUCCUCCGAAGAUUCUCUCUGGAACCGCCUUAUCUCUUCCCACUUUCCUCAAACCAAACCACUCCUCCUUUCUCCCCCUUCUUCUAAAUCCCUUUAUAAAUUAAGGUUCGAGAGAGACAAGGAGAGGAGAAUAGCGGCUCAUAGGAGGGUUCUAUUCAGAAAGCAGAGCCAGAUUUCCGAACAUGCUAGAAGGCUCAGAGAUAUUGAGACACGUGUGGCUCAUGAAACCAUCAAAGCCAAAGAAACUGCUCAAGAGUUAUAUAAUUUGCGUAGGGUCAGACAAGCCUCUGUAUCUUUGAAUGUGUGGCAACCGGAGGUUGUCCGGGGUAGGCAAAGACAGAUGGUGGAGCAAUGUGAUGUACCUGCAGAAUUUCGGAUACGUGCAGUUGAGAUGGAACUCAUGCUCUGUAAGCAACAGAUUGUGGGGUUGGAGAAGUCCUAUGUAAGUGUUGAUAUUUCCAUAUGACAUUUAAAGGUUCGAUGGCUUGUUACUUACACAAAAUUGUACCAGAAAGAUGAAAAGCGCAGGCUUAAGAUUGCAAAAGAAGAGUUGGCAUCAAUGAAUUAUCAUCCUGUCCAGCAGCACACCCCUUUGAGUGGAGGGGAGAAUGAACACAAUGUUAAGCGGAAGAAGUUGAAAAUUUGUAAUAGCUACAUUGCAUCGGAUGAUGAGUUGAAGUUAUGGGAAGACGAAAUUUGCUGUUCUUUCUUCCAUUGAAAAGUUGUUCCUGCCGCGAAGACUGACUGUGUGAAUCCUCUGAUCAUUGUGGAUAGGAUUAAGUAGCAAUAAGGAUAA